UACGUAGGCAGCGAGCGUUGUUCGGAGUUACUGGGCGUAAAGAGUGCGUAGGCGGUUUUCUAAGUUUGGUGUGAAAUCUCCCGGCUUAACUGGGAGGGUGCGCCGAAGACUGGAAGGCUUGAGUAUGGGAGAGGUAAGCGGAAUUCCUGGUGUAGCGGUGAAAUGCGUAGAUAUCAGGAGGAACACCUGCGGUGUAGACGGCUUACUGGACCAUAACUGACGCUGAGGCACGAAAGCGUGGGGAGCAAACAGG
rnacentral:rRNA from 1 species